rnacentral:lncRNA from 1 species
GUGGAUCCUGCAUGGGGGCUGCAGGUGGAGCUGCCUGCCAGUCAGGAGCCGUGCGCCCCGCACUCCUCAGCCCUUGGGUGGUCGAUGGGACUGGGCGCCCUGGAGCAGGGGGCGGCGCUCGUUGGGGAGGCUAGGGCCGCACAGGAGCCCACGGAGGUGGGGGGAGGCUCAGGCAUGGCAGGCUGCAGGUGCCGAGCCCUGCCCCGCGGGAAGGCAGCUAAGGCCCUGCGAGAGAUUGAGCACAGCAGCUGCUGGCCCAGGUGCUAAGCCCCUCACUGCCCUGGGCCGGUGGGGCCCGCCGGCGGCUCCGAGUGCGGGGUCCGCCGAGCCCACGCCCACCCGGAACUCGCGCUGGCCCGUAAGCACCGCGCGCAGCCCCGGUUCUCGCUGGCGCCUCUCCCUCCACAACUCCCCGCAAGCUGAGGGAGCCGGCUUCGGCCUUGGCCAGCCCAGAAAAGGGAUCCCACAGUGCAGCGGCGGGCUGAAGGGCUCCUCAAGUGCCGCCAAAGUGGGAGCCCAGGCAGAGGAGGCGCCGAGAGCGAGCGAAGGCUGUGAGGACUGCCAGCAGGCUGUCACCUCUCACCAGGUUGGCAGAAAAAGAAAACAUUAGCAGCCAAAUUAGCCAGUCUGCCUGUGGAAUGAAGGCUCCAGUUUUUGACCUCUAAUGAAAGAAGAAAGAAUACUCAUUGAGGUUUCAGCUGCUUGGGGCCAUUUAGGCAUGGAUUUUCUUCUGCCUCUGCCACCUGGAGACAGGAAGACCAACCCCUCCUGCCCUCCUCCUCCCUAGCCUAGCCAAUGUGAAGAUGACAAGAAUGAAGACGUUUAUGAUGAUCCACUUCCACUUGAUGAACAAAACUAAGAUAAGCAGUGUUCCAUCAUAAGUCUUACUCAGGGAAAGUAACUUUAUCAUCUGCAGUGCACAAGACCAGAAGAAUGACCGAUCUUUACCCCUCACCUCAUUAUAACACUAAAACCUCUGCCAAGGGGGUUCUUAUCUGCCAUUUUCUGCUCAUGUGAUGUAUGUGUUAGCAUGAUCCCUUACUACACCUGAGCAUCCUGCACUCCACCCCAUACAUGUAGUGAUGCUCACCUACUUCUUGAAUUAUUAAUGUCACCUCCUUAAGACACUGCAAUGCACUCCCCUCUGGGAGCCGGCUGGAGAAAUUUUGCUCCAGUACUGUCUCCCUUGUGUUCCAGCAUAACCCCCUAAUAAAGCUUUGUCUGGGAA